rnacentral:rRNA from 1 species
CCAUGCGCACACAUGCAAGUCGAACGAAGGCUUCGGCAGUGGCGGACGGGUGAGUAACACGUGGGAACGUGCCCUUGGGUUCGGGAUAACGCUGGAAACGGACGCUAAUACCGGAUGCCCCCUGCGCCCGAAAGAUUUAUCGUGAGGAGCGCCCGCGUCUGAAAUUUAGGUAGUUGGGGGUAAUGGCCUACCAAGCCGACGAUCAGUAGGGUCUGAGAGGAUGAUCAGCCACACUGGGACUGAGACACCCCAGACUCCUACGGGAGGCAGCAGUGGGGAAUCGCAUUGGACAAUGGGCGAAGCUGAUCCAGCCUGCCGCGUGAGUGAUGAAGGCUUCGGGUUGUAAAGCUCUUUCGCACGCGACGAUGAUGACGUAGCGUGAGAAGAAGCCCCGGCUAACUUCGUGCCAGCAGCCGCGGUAUCGAUACGAAGGGGCUAGCGUUGUUCGGAAUUACUGGGCGUAAAGGGCGCGUAGGCGGCCU